rnacentral:rRNA from 1 species
CAUGCUUAACACAUGCAAGUCGAACGCAGCAUCCAAGCUUGCUUGGAUGGCUGAGUGGCAGACGGGUGAGUAACACGUGGGAACUUACCCUUUAGACUGGGACAACCACUGGAAACUUGUGCUAAUACCGUAUGUGCCCGCAAGGGGAAAGAUUUAUCGCCAUCGGAUGAACCCGCGUCAGAUUAGCUAGUUGGUGUGGUAAAGGCGCACCAAGGCGACGAUCUGUAGCUGGUCUGAGAGGAUGAUCAGCCACACUGGGACUGAGACACGGCCCAGACUCCUACGGGAGGCAGCAGUGGGGAAUAUUGGACAAUGGGCGCAAGCCUGAUCCAGCCAUGCCGCGUGAGUGAUGAAGGCCUUAGGGUUGUAAAGCUCUUUCGCCGACGAAGAUAAUGACGGUAGUCGGAGAAGAAGCCCCGGCUAACUUCGUGCCAGCCGCCGCCGUAACAC